GGCUGGGGCAGCGUGCUGCGAAACCUCUCAGCGACGGAGGAGGGUAGUGCACCUCCCCAUCACCACCACCAGCACCAGCCGGCGGCACCACCGGCCCGGUGGCGGGUCUCUGCACCGCCGCCGCCCCCAGCCACCCUGGAGAUGUCUCCCAGACAGGCGGCAGGGUCUCCGUCCGGCCGCCGUCGCCGUGUGCGCGGCUCCCCCCGGCCGCGCCGAGCGCCACCCGCUCUCUCCCCUCUCGCUCUGUCCCGGCGGCCCACCCCCAACUUUGACUCGCACGCGGUUCAGGAGAUAGUUCAGGAUCGCAGCCCGGGCGCGGACGUCGGCUGGGCCACGCCCUCCCCACCGCCGCGGGGGCCG